AGAGUUUGAUCAUGGCUCAGAAUGAACGCUGGCGGUAGGCUUAACACAUGCAAGUCGGACGGAAACGACAAGAACAAUCACUUCGGUGUGCGCUCUUGGGCGUCGAGUGGCGGACGGGUGAGUAAUGCCUGGGAAUCUACCCUAAUGUUGGGGACAACAUAUGGAAACGUAUGCUAAUACCGAAUGUGAUCUACGGAUUAAAGGUGCCCUCUCCUUGGAAGGUAUCGCAUUAGGAUGAGCCCAGGUGAGAUUAGCUAGUUGGUAAGGUAAUGGCUUACCAAGGCGACGAUCUCUAGCUGGUUUGAGAGGAUGAUCAGCCACACUGGGACUGAGACACGGCCCAGACUCCUACGGGAGGCAGCAGUGGGGAAUAUUGCACAAUGAGCGAAAGCUUGAUGCAGCCAUACCGCGUGUGUGAAGAAGGCCCGAGGGUUGUAAAGCACUUUCAAUUGUGAGGAAGGUUCAGUAGUUAAUACCUGCUGUUCUUGACGUUAACUUUAGAAGAAGCACCGGCUAACUCUGUGCCAGCAGCCGCGGUAAUACAGAGGGUGCAAGCGUUAUUCGGAAUUACUGGGCGUAAAGCGCGCGUAGGCGGAAUAUUAAGUCAGUUGUG
rnacentral:rRNA from 1 species